GACGAACGCUGGCGGUGUGCUUCACACAUGCAAGUCGAACGAGGUAGCAAUACCUAGUGGCGGACGGGUGAGUAACGCGUGGGAAUCUGCCUUAAGAUGGGGGAUAACGAGCCGAAAGGCUCGCUAAUACCGCAUAUGCCGAAAGGUGAAAGGAGUAAUCCGUCUUAAGAUGAGCCCGCGUCCGGAUUAGCUAGUUGGUAGGGUAAAGGCCUACCAAGGCGACGAUCCGGUAGCUGGUCUGAGAGGAUGAUCAAGCCACAAUGGGACUGAGACACGGCCCAUACUCCUACGGGAGGCAGCAGUGGGGAAUUUUACGCAAUGGGGGAAACCCUGACGUAGCGACACCGCGUGAGCGAAGAAGCCCCUUGGGGUNUAAAGCUCUGUCAGCUGGAACGAAAAAAAUGACGGUACCAGCAGAGGAAGCAUCGGCUAACUACGUG
rnacentral:rRNA from 1 species